GACGAACGCUGGCGGCGUGCCUAACACAUGCAAGUCGAACGGAAAGGCCCUGCUUUCGUGGGGUGCUCGAGUGGCGAACGGGUGAGUAACACGUGAGUAACCUGCUCUUGACUUUGGGAUAAGUUCAGGAAACUGGGGUUAAUCUCGGAUAGCAUCUCCCGUUCCAUGGUGGGGGUUGGAAAGUUUCGGCGGUCGGGGAUGGACUCGCGGCUUACCAGCUUGUUGGUGGGGUAGUGGCUUACCGAGGCUUUGACGGGUCGCCGGCUUGUGAGGGUGACCGGCCACAAUGGGACUAAGAUACGGCCCAGACUCCUACGGGGGGCAGAGGUGGGGAGUAUUGCACAGUGAGCGGGAGCCUGAUGCAGCGGCGCCGCGUGCGGAAUGACGGCCUUCGGGUUAUGAACCGCUUUCGCCUGUGACGAAGCGUGAGUGACGGUAAUGAAUGAAGAAGCACCGGCUAACUACGUG
rnacentral:rRNA from 1 species